UUAUAAUCGAUUAAUAUCUAGCGAACGUAUGCAUUACCUUGUAUACGCAUAUCGAGCAACACUGAGCAAACGACGACUAAUUCUGUACUGCAAAUAGUUUUAAAUCCAUUUGACUACAAAAAGAAUAUGGGUCACGGUGUGUUCAAUUUGCGUUUAUUGGUCUGUGCACCGUGCGUGCUACGCUUUGAAGUCCAGUACCUCCGUAACCAAUGUACGAAAUAUUGAUUUGAAAUAAACUUUGCCUUCUACUCGACGAAGAUUUUCCCCACAGUUUGGGUAGAAUAUAUUAAUGAGAUGAUAAUGGAAGAUAUAUAUUUAGCCUAAGGAAUUUUCUAGCGAAUGGAAACUUCGUAAAGCAGUAUUGAAACUAGGUGAGACUGGCAGCAACGAUAAGAGGAACAGAGCGAAUAUUGCACUUUGUAAUUUUUAAAUUUAUCUACCAUUUGCAAUAGACGCGAGGACAAAUGUUUCGCGUAUAACUUUUUACUUUCUGUGUUCCGACGUGUACUAUUUGUUUGACAAAUAAAGAAACAGUUUUCAAUAGUAAAAACAACAUUGUUGUAAAAACAAAUGGAGAAAAUGUUACGAUCAAUAGCACAAUCAAAGUGAACGUAGGUACAAUAUCUAUUCCGAGAAAAUUCAACGGAAAAAAAAGGUUCUAACAAAGCGAUGGAAAUUUAGAUAGCCAUAACAAAUAUUAAAAAAAAAUUUUUAUUUAGAAAAAUGUAAUAGUGUGUAAAAAUUUCUAUCGUUUCUGAAAAUUGUCGUGCUUAUUUAUUGAUAAAAUCAGCAUUGAAAAGCUUCCAAACAUUCGAACAUCUCAUAAAUCUAGACGCAGUAAACUACGUCUCUCUAACAAUGUAUAACUAGUUGUACUUGCAAAGAAACUUCCUAAUAGUAACAAAGUUUAUCUAAGCAACUCAAAGUCGAUCCGACAUCUCUCAUGGAAGACACACCAUGAAUAUGGCAACGUCUAUUAACUCCUGUUUAAUACUUACACGACAGAUAAACUCGAAAAUUCUAUGUAAAUAUUCUGCUACUAGCGAAACAACUGUUCUAAUAACAGACUUUGACGAAAGUAAUUGACACAAAGGAAAGAUAUAGAAGAAAUGGCUGGAAACAUUUGUUUUAAAGAAUAUUUUAU